rnacentral:rRNA from 1 species
UACGGAGGGUGCCAGCGUUAAUCGGAAUUACUGGGCGUAAAGCGCGCGUAGGCGGUUUAGCAAGUCGGAUGUGAAAGCCCCGGGCUUAACCUGGGAAUUGCAUUCGAGACUGCUUGGCUAGAGUUUGGUAGAGGAAAGCGGAAUUCCGGGUGUAGCGGUGAAAUGCGUAGAUAUCCGGAGGAACAUCAGUGGCGAAGGCGGCUUUCUGGACCAAAACUGACGCUGAGGUGCGAAAGCGUGGGGAGCAAACAGG